rnacentral:rRNA from 1 species
AGGUCUUGACAUACUAUGCAAAUCUAAGAGAUUAGACGUUCCCUUCGGGGACAUGGAUACAGGUGGUGCAUGGUUGUCGUCAGCUCGUGUCGUGAGAUGUUGGGUUAAGUCCCGCAACGAGCGCAACCCUUAUUAUCAGUUGCCAGCAUUAAGUUGGGCACUCUGGUGAGACUGCCGGUGACAAACCGGAGGAAGGUGGGGAUGACGUCAAAUCAUCAUGCCCCUUAUGACCUGGGCUACACACGUGCUACAAUGGAUGGUACAACGAGUUGCGAACUCGCGAGAGUAAGCUAAUCUCUUAAAGCCAUUCUCAGUUCGGAUUGUAGGCUGCAACUCGCCUACAUGAAGUCGGAAUCGCUAGUAAUCGCGGAUCAGCAUGCCGCGGUGAAUACGUUCCCGGGCCUU